rnacentral:rRNA from 1 species
GAGAGUUGGUUAGUCAGUACGAGCGCAACCCUAUCCUUAUUUGCCAGCGCAUAAUGGCGGGAACUAUAAGGAGACUGCCGGUCAUAAACCGGAGGAAGGCGGGGACGACGUCAAGUCAUCAUGGCCCUUAUGGGUAGGGCUACACACGUGAUACAAUGGGUGGUACAGAGGGUCGCCAAAGCGCGAGCUGGAGCCAAACCCUUAAAACCAUUCUUAGUCCGGAUUGGAGUCUGCAACUCGACUCCAUGAAGUUGGAAUCGCUAGUAAUCGCGAAUCAGAAUGUCGCGGUGAAUACGUUCUCGGGCCUUGUACACACCGCCCGUCACGUCAUGGAAGUGGGUUGCACCAGAAGUGGCUUGUUUAACCUUCGGGAAAACGGUCACCACGGUGUGAUUCACAACUGGGACGAAGUCGUAACAAGGUAGCCCUAGGGGAACCUGGGGCUGGAUCACCUCCUU